UUUGUCAACGAGUUCAAGUGGGCGCUGGGCUGGAGGGCCCUCCCACAGGAAGGGUGAAGCCAAGUGGGGGCGGCCCCUGCUUUGACAAAAGGCUGCAUCCGGGCCCCUUCCCACCAACCAGAACUGUGAAGAGUGUUUUCCCUUCUACAAAAACUAAAAAGGCACAGCAUCCGGGCACCAGUUAGCAACGGUGACUGCACCCAGGAUGGCUGUGUGAUUGGGGGAGGGCUUCUUUUGGUCUGGGAACACUCAAAAUGUGUCUCUGGGAAUUAAUCGUAAAGGUCUUCUCACAAGCUCUGCUUUUCAACCACGCAGGGCCACCGGGACUGGAGUUUUUGUUGCCCUUUGGCACCACCUGGUGGCCACUCAGCACAUUGCGCUGCUAGAUUUGGUUUCUGUCUGUUGAGUGAGGGCCACCCUGCCCAUCCCAGAAGCAGCCAAUGCUUUUCUUAACGUUUCCUCUAGGUUGGGGAGGAUGGUUCUGGGCAGCCCAGCAAGGCUGCCUGCCCGCGCUCUCUGCUAUAUGUGGUCAGAGCGGGGACAAUGCUUUUAACCCUCUAGGCGCUUGAACAUACAUACACCUGGGGCUAUGAGUGAGCCGUCCCAGACUCGGACAGGAACAUCGGGUUCUUAUUGAUCCUUUUGUGCCAACGUCCCAGCGAGGCGCUCAAUCAGAGUCCCCCCUGCUAGUGAGGUGGCUGUGGCUGCAGCUGGAGGGCCAACUUGGUGGUGCCGCCCCAUCCAUACCUGUCCCACCUCACCUAGGAAAUCGACACCGUAGCGGCGGGUUAGUGUCUCAGUGACUUCAGUCGUUUACCAGCAAGCUAAGUGGCUGUGAUUGAACUUGUGGUGAGUUGGGGGUUGGCUGCUGUCUUAACCAAAGAUGACUUUAACAGGCGGCCUGAGACGGGCGGGCCUGGGCCUGCCUCUCCAGCUGGCCUUCAGGAAAACAGACAGACCUGCGUCAGUAAGCAGAGCUGCAGUUGAGAAACUAGUUCCAGGCUUAGUCUCUGGGCAUUCAUUAUGCUAACCUUGGGCUAUGAGAGAGAGGAACUGCAGCCUCAGAUUCCUCACCUGAGAGAUGGUGGGCUCGCCUGCCCUUGCUGGCAGUACCAUGGGCACAGAGGACGACCUACCGGGAAUGCACCUCCCACAGCUUCUGGUUCAUGCGGUAGUCCCACACGGUGACGAGCCCCUCCUCGCCUCCACUGACGAUCUUCCACUCGUCCAUCUGGACUGAGGCGACGCCCAGCUGAUGGGCAGAGAGCGACAGGGCGAUUUUAUCCGUGCGGAGGUCGUGGAUCCUCACCCUACAGGAGCAGAGAAGACGGGACCAGGUUACAGCUACAUCUGACAGGUGCCUCACAGCUGUGUGGGGGCCUUCUCCUUUUUUGAUGACCAAGCAUGAAGUCCCUUUUCCGGGAUCGGUUUCUCCUGAGAGUUCGUCCACGUAUGUGAGUUGCAGCCAAGGGCAUUCUGGCUGUCCGUCCCUGCAGGCAGGUGUGCGUGUGCAGUGGUGGUCCAGUGCACGGUCCUUCUCCUGCAGCCCUCUUCCUGCUUGUCCUCACGGUCCAGCUCCCAUGUGUGCCAGAGCCCAGCAGAGGGAAGGAAACAGAAGGAAGGGCAGCACUGAGUACAACCAUCUGCACAAGCAUCAGCUUGAGACCCAAAGGACUAGACGGAGCCUGGCUACUGGCUACCACCACCCACCGCUCUAUUCCAACUCAUCGUGACCCUGGAAGACAGUAUGACGACCGUGUGGGUUUCUGCG